GUGGGGAGCAAACAGGAUUAGAUACCCUGGUAGUCCACGCCGUAAACGAUGAGAACUAGCCGUUGGACAUCUUGCAUGUUUAGUGGCGCAGCUAACGCGAUAAGUUCUCCGCCUGGGGAGUACGGCCGCAAGGUUAAAACUCAAAUGAAUUGACGGGGGCCCGCACAAGCGGUGGAGCAUGUGGUUUAAUUCGACGCAACGCGAAGAACCUUACCUACACUUGACAUCCUCGGAACUUUCUAGAGAUAGAUUGGUGCCUUCGGGAACCGAGUGACAGGUGCUGCAUGGCUGUCGUCAGCUCGUGUCGUGAGAUGUUGGGUUAAGUCCCGUAACGAGCGCAACCCUUAUCCUUAUUUGCCAGCGGUUCGGCCGGGAACUCUAAGGAGACUGCCGAUGACAAAUCGGAGGAAGGUGGGGACGACGUCAAGUCAUCAUGGCCCUUACGUGUAGGGCUACACACGUGCUACAAUGGUCGGUACAAACGGUCGCGAACCCGCAAGGGGAAGCCAAUCCGAGAAAGCCGAUCGUAGUCCGGAUUGGGGUCUGCAACUCGACCCCAUGAAGUCGGAAUCGCUAGUAAUCGUGAAUCAGAAUGUCACGGUGAAUACGUUCCCGGGCCUUGUACACACCGCCCGUCACACCAUGGGAGUGGGUUGCACCAGAAGUGGCUAGUCUAACUUCGGAGGACGGUCACCACGGUGUGAUUCAUGACUGGGGUGAAGUCGUAACAAGGUAACCGUAGGGGAACCUGCGGUUG
rnacentral:rRNA from 1 species